rnacentral:rRNA from 1 species
UACGGAGGGUGCAAGCGUUAUCCGGAUUCACUGGGUUUAAAGGGUGCGUAGGUGGGCUGGUAAGUCCGUGGUGAAAUCUCCAAGCUUAACUUGGAAACUGCCGUGGAUACUAUUAGUCUUGAAUCUCGUGGAGGUAAGCGGAAUAUGUCAUGUAGCGGUGAAAUGCUUAGAUAUGACAUAGAACACCGAUAGCGAAGGCAGCUUGCUACACGAGUAUUGACACUGAGGCACGAAAGCGUGGGAUCAAACAGG